UCUAGAUUAAUUAAUUUAAAGUUUGCGCACAUAAACAAAGAUGAAUUAUAAGCUACAAAAUUACAAAAUAAUACAAAAAACAAAAAAUGAUAUUGGGCCCUUAAUUGGCACCAUAAUGAAGCUGCCCAGUUUUGGGCAUGGAAUUAUGGACUUCACCCUUGCGUUUUUGUGCAUAUUUCCACGUAUAUACUGUAUAUCAACUUAGAAAUCAGCAUAUUCCCUCUCCAUAAUUCAUUGUACACUGUAUGAUGGUAUGCAGCUACGACUUUCAGUGUAUACAUGCUGUAUAUCAGCGUAUACCAGCCUGUAUAUGCGUAUAUCAGCAGCUGUUCGUGGUAUAUUAAUCCAUUUUUUGAACUUGGUAUGGUCUUGACUCGAUGCAAGUUGGGUUUAACCCAACGGAGUACGAGGGAUGGAGGUCCGAGGAACUCGGUGGUGGAGUUCAUGCAAAUCAAAAGAGGGUAGAAGAUUAGUAUCCACACAAAUAUGAUAAGGUUGAGAAUUAACUAAAAAUGAUCUGGUGCAUUUUUUUUAUUUUUUUUUGUUCAUAAUAAGACACCAUUUUUGUUUAGAUAGAUUUACAUUAAUCCUACUGCCACACAAGCUAGAUGAACAGAAGUUCUCGGACGAUAUUUUCAACAAGGCACAUAUUCACGAAGGAGAUCUCCACUUUUCAAUAAGCUAGAACUCUUCAAAACACUCCAAUGUUAUAUUCACGCUACAAGCAGGAUUUGGGGAUUAAUUUAAAGGAAAAUUCGUGAAGAAAAAGACCCAUAACAAAAGAAAAGGAACCGAUUGAUUAUUAUUUUAAGAUGUAGUCAAAGGUGAACAUAAAGAAGCAACUUUCAUAUUCCUACAAGGUAAAGUCAUUAGUUUAUUCAAUCCGUAUUUUUUUUUUCUUUGUAGGAGGUAGGCAUACUUUUUUCAUUCACCAAAUGAAAGAAAACUAUCCGUUCGCCACACAAAAAGGGAAAUCCUGGAAUCCUUCAACCCAAUCAUUUGAAAGAAGACACCAAAAUGAACUCAACCAUAAUCAACAUUUAAAAGCAGUAAGUAGCCGAACACUAUAGUACGUACUAUGUAGAUAUGGCUAAGUCACAAACAGAGAUGAAAACAAAGAUAAGAACUUGAGUUAUAUCACACGCGGUGGGAUUGUAACUACAAAAUCCAAUUCAAAACUCUCAAUAUCCAUACUCCCACCAAAGAAUAUUUUCCAAUGAAAUCAGACAUAUAGGCAUACCACAAACAAACAACACUACAUAUUCCAGUCAC
rnacentral:lncRNA from 1 species